rnacentral:rRNA from 1 species
UACGUAGGGUGCGAGCGUUGUCCGGAAUUACUGGGCGUAAAGCGUGCGCAGGCGGUUCGCUGUGUCCGAUGUGAAAGCCCCGGGCUUAACCUGGGAAUGGCAUUGGAAACUGGCGGGCUUGAGUGCGGCAGAGGGGGGUGGAAUUCCGCGUGUAGCAGUGAAAUGCGUAGAGAUGCGGAGGAACACCGAUGGCGAAGGCAGCCCCCUGGGUCGACACUGACGCUCAGGCACGAAAGCGUGGGGAGCAAACAGG